rnacentral:rRNA from 1 species
CAGCAGCCGCGGGAAUACGUAGGUCCCGAGCGUUGUCCGGAUUUAUUGGGCGUAAAGCGAGCGCAGGCGGUUAGAUAAGUCUGAAGUUAAAGACUGUGGCUUAACCAUAGUAUGCUUUGGAAACUGUUUAACUUGAGUGCAGAAGGGGAGAGUGGAAUUCCAUGUGUAGCGGUGAAAUGCGUAGAUAUAUGGAGGAACACCGGUGGCGAAAGCGGCUCUCUGGUCUGUAACUGACGCUGAGGCUCGAAAGCGUGGGGAGCAAACAGGAUUAGAUACCCCCGUAGUCCCUGUCUCUUAUACA